AGAACUCAGUCAUAUGGCUUCACCAAAAGGUUUUUUUAAUUACUUGACCUAUUUUCUGGCUGCUGGUGCUGUCACUUUGGGAAUUGGUUUCUUUGCUUUGGCAUCAGCUUUGUGGUUCCUGAUUUGCAAACGAAGAGAAAUAUUUCAAAAUUCCAAAUUUAAAGCAAUUGAUGAGAGAUGCAGGCAAAGACCAUCAACGGCGAAGAUUAAAUCUCAUUCUCAGUGUGUUUUUAUUUCUCGAAAUUUUCAUACUGGGAGAUUCCAAUUACAGGAGGAGCAAAGAAAAAAGGAAGCAGCACAUAUAAAAGCAAUUAAAGAUCAUUCUAAAGAUGAAUCCCGACUUGCAACAAAAAAUGUCAUUUGUGAUCCCUCAGAGACCAGCUCCCCAACAAAUUGCAGCAGUGUUACAUUAAGCUUAUCAACGUUGCCAUCUGAUUCUUAUUACAGCCGAAGUAUAGAAGCAGCUGAUGACUGGUUUUCUGAUGAUUCUCUAGUGAAAAGGAACUCUCCAAUGCCUUCUGUCGGGGAACCUCUAAUGGAAAAAGUAUUUUCAUACCUGUCAACCAUUUCAUUAGAAGAGGGUACUGAAAGUGUACUGAAUGACACUUUAUGAUCAUCAAAAAGAUGACCACAUUAAGGGAAAAUGUUCAUGAAGAAACACAGAGGUUGAAAUACAAAACCUUCAACAUAAUACUGAAUGAUUUUUUCUUUUGAAACCUUGUAUACACUGAAAUCAGGCAGAAGAACACCACCUUCUUGCGCUUCUUCGCCUCCUCUGGUGUUGAAGACUUAACGCAUCUUCAUGUCCUUGAACACCUUGAUGACGCCAUCAGAGACGGCCACCCAUGAAGCCAUGUUUCCGGAAGUGAAAAGAAGAGGGCACAGAGAGCCUCAGAAGACACCACUGCUAGGACCCACCUGAACCAAGUCUUAACAUCUUUAAGAAGAUUUGAAUCAAAUCAAGUAUAUUUUGUGGACAAAAUGGCAUGAAACUAGAAAUCAACAAACAGGAGUAAAUUUGGAAAAUUCACAACUAUGUGUAAAUUAAACAAUGUGCUCCUGAACAACCAAUGCGUCGAAGAAGAAAUCAAAAUGGAAAUACAAACAUAUCUUGAGAUGAGCUAAAUAGAAACAAAAUAUCCCCAAAGUUAUGGGAUUCAACAAAAGCAGUUAUAAGAGGGAAGAUUAUAGCAAUAAACACCUACAUUAAAAUGGAAGAAAGAUCUCAAAUAAAUAAGCUAAUGUUAUACCUCAAGGAACUAG